rnacentral:rRNA from 1 species
UACGUAGGGUGCGAGCGUUAUUCGGAAUUACUGGGCGUAAAGCGUGCGCAGGCGGUUCGCUGUGUCCGAUGUGAAAUCCCCGGGCUCAACCUGGGAAUGGCAUGGGAAACUGGCGGGCUGGAGUGUGGCAGAGGGGGGUGGAAUUCCGCGUGUAGCAGUGAAAUGCGUAGAGAUGCGGAGGAACACCGAUGGCGAAGGCAGCCCCCUGGGCCAACACUGACGCUCAGGCACGAAAGCGUGGGGAGCAAACAGG